rnacentral:rRNA from 1 species
AGAGUUUGAUCAUGGCUCAGGAUGAACGCUGGCGGCGUGCCUAACACAUGCAAGUCGAACGAAGCAUUUUAGAUGAAGUUUUCGGAUGGAUUCUGAGAUGACUGAGUGGCGGACGGGUGAGUAACACGUGGAUAACCUGCCUCACACUGGGGGACAACAGUUAGAAAUGACUGCUAAUACCGCAUAAGCGCACAGUACCGCAUGGUACGGUGUGAAAAACUCCGGUGGUGUGAGAUGGAUCCGCGUCUGAUUAGCCAGUUGGCGGGGUAUCGGACCACCAAAGCGACGAUCAGUAGCCGACCUGAGAGGGUGACCGGCCACAUUGGGACUGAGACACGGCCAUACUCCUACGGGACGCAGUAG